rnacentral:rRNA from 1 species
UACAGAGGUCUCAAGCGUUGUUCGGAUUCAUUGGGCGUAAAGGGCGCGUAGGCGGCGUGGCAAGUCAGGAGUGAAAGGCCUGGGCUCAACCCGGGAAUUGCGCUUGAGACUGGGCUGGCUUGAGUGCGGGAGAGGAUGGUGGAAUUCCCAGUGUAGAGGUGAAAUUCGUAGAUAUUGGGAAGAACACCAGUGGCGAAGGCGGCGACCUGGACGGACACUGACGCUGAGGCGGCGAAAGCUAGGGGAGCGAACAGG